rnacentral:rRNA from 1 species
GACGAACGCUGGCGGCGUGCCUAAUACAUGCAAGUCGAACGCAGUGGGGACGGGUGAGUAACACGUGGGUAACCUCCCAUCAGAGGGGAUAACACUUGGAAACAGGUGCUAAACCGAUACUGAUGGAUGGACCCGCGGUGCAUUAGCUAGGUGGUGAGGUAACGGCUCACCAAGGCCACGAUGCAUAGCCGGCCGUGGAGGUGGGACGGGCACACUGGGACGUGGGCACGGCCCCGAGUCCUGCGGGAGGCAGGAGUAGGGAAGUUUAGGGAAUGGGCGGAAGUCUUACCGGGCAACGCCGCGUGAGUGAAGGAGGGUUUCGGAUUGUAAAACUCUUGUGUUAGGGGAGCGGUAUCUAACCAGAAAGCCACGGCUAACUACGUGCCAGCAGCCGCGGUAAUAC